CGGUAUUGCUCCACCAAAAUGUUUUUUUAACAACAGAUAUGUCACCCAUGAAGCAAAACUCACAGCUAAUCUGGCUGAUUCAAUGUUGGCUGAACCGGAUGGCACGGCUAGGGUUAGGGUUUGAGAACCGAUUUUAUUAACUAGCAUCAUAUGCAAUUGAAAUUUCCUGUGUAUCUUUCUUACGUAUGUUUACAAUCAGUUAUUUCACUGGCAUAAAAAAAGAACGAAACCCUAGCCCUAGCCUGGGGCACAAAAUUUACGACUAUAGAUACGAUUUUAGAUAAGAGUUUGGUCUUGUUCGGUUGAAAAGUUAGUAUGCUGUUGGCGAUUUUUUAUAAGAGUUUUCAGUGGAGGGUGUUCAGCUGAAAAAUUAUGUUUCUGUUGUUGCUAUUGUGCCCGAUUAACUGGAUAAGGAAGUGUCUGAAUCAGUCUUUCACACUUGUUAUGCUCUUGUCUGAAUACGAUUUUUCUGACAUCAAUUUGGCAGAUAUUCAGUUGUAAUUCUGUAAAUUAUGUUGAUGUGCUUCUUGUUUCCGUUCUAAUGUUUGCUAAAGUUGUGUGAAAUAUUUGUUGUUCUUAUUAAAAAAGCUUUGAAUUUGUGAUGUAACAAGCCAAAUCAGAUUAGAAAUGUAGGUUAAUAUUGUUUUUAAGCCAUAAUAUUUGUUUGUAAUUUGUUUGUACUGUUUUGAUGUGCAAUAUAAUCUAGCUACACUUGGUUGUACGUGUUUGGUACAAAAAUUAACUUGAUUUAGCUAAUCCCCUUUUUAAGUAUCUAGGGCUUUGUGAAACUCAUUGUCUAUAUAUAUAAUUCGUCGGAUUUCUAGGAGUUGUUACUAAAUUAUUACUUUUAAUACCUUCUAUUGAUAUAUAUAAUGCUUAUGUUAUCAUUUGAUUAUGCUGUAGAAUAUGAAGAUGUUAAGGGAAAACCUUAACAUGCAAGUGCAAACUAUAAGUUAGUCUAACAUGAACAAGCCUUGCAAUUUAAGAUGGAUUGGUUGUCCAGGUGAAAAGCCAUGUGAUGGCUCUAAUGCUUGAUGUCAGAUUCAUGAUAAUGUCUAACAAGCACACGUUUUGAUAAUGUCCACCUGAAUGGGUUGAUUUGGGUUGGUCGUACCUCACACGGGUCAAAUAAAAGAAAUUUAGAUAAAAGAGGAACAAAUCUUACUGGUUGAAAGUCGCUAAAAGUCUAUUUCUUAGGCAUAUAGCCUCCCAAUCUGUAUUCAUUGUAAGAACUUUGUUUUAGAGAUGGAAAUCAAUGUUUGUGGGUCAACCUGGCCUGACCCAUGACUAAAAGUGACAUGUUUCUACCUGAAUUCACUUUGCACUUAUCUGACCCGCUUGUUUUGUCAACCUGAAUUAAAAGCUUUGAUCAAGCAUUGAUUGGUAAUUUGUUUCUCUUUGAACCUGUGAACAGCAGGGUUUCCUUUCUUUGGGGCAGAUUCAUUUGUAGAAUCUUCAAAAAACGCUUAUCGUUUGCUGGUGAGUAGCUUUGGCUAUCAUCUCCAUGGUGGCAUCAGUUGUUUAUUAUUUGUCCAUUUGAUGGUGGAUACGGGUGGAUGGCCGAAAUAUGAGAACGAAGGGCUGGGUGUGACAUCUUUAGAGAAUGAGGAUUGCAGUUGCGCUGGUCAGUUUGAAAAGCUUUAACAGGAUUUCCUUUCUUUGGGGCAGGUACAUUUGCAGGAUCUGCAAAAAACGCUUAUCGUUUGCUGGUGGGCAGCUUUGACUUUCAUCUCCAUGGUGGCAUCCGUUGCUUAUUAUUUGUCCAUUUGAUGGCGGAUACGGGUGGAUGGGAGAAACAUGAGAAUGAAGGGCUGGCUGUGACAUCUUUAGAGUAUGAGGAUCGCAGAUGUGCUGGUCAGUUUGAAAAGCUUUAAAUGAAGGAAGCAGCAAACAAGAAGACUACCUAAAGACCAAAUGCAGCUGCUUAGCAAUAUCAUAGCACAAUUAAAACGGAGUGGUCGUUAGCUCUUCAUUUAAGUGAUCUUUUUGUCAUUUCAUUGAGAAAGAUUCAUUAAAUCUUUGUUCUUGUUAUACACUCUGUUGGUAGCCUUGUUUGAAUAUAUUUUUUU